UCCCCGUUGCCGAGGCAGUCUCGCUAGAAAAUACAACUAACGACGAGGGUUGCGCUCGUUAAGGGACUUAACCCUACAUCUCACGACACGAGCUGACGACGGCCAUGCAUCACCUGUCACCAGGUUCCCCGAAGGGCACUUCCUCAUUUCUGAGGAAUUCCUGGGAUGUCAAGCCUUGGUAAGGUUCUACGCGUAGCAUCGAAUUAAACCACACGCUCCACCGCUUGUGCGGGUCCCCGUCAAUUCCUUUGAGUUUUAGCCUUGCGGCCGUACUCCCCAGGCGGGAUGCUUAACGCGUUAGCUUCGCAACUUCGGGGGUCGAUACCCAAAACUGCUAGCAUCCAUCGUUUACGGCGUGGACUAC
rnacentral:misc_RNA from 1 species